GACGAACGCUGGCGGCGUGCCUAAUACAUGCAAGUCGAGCGAGCUUGCCUAGAUGAAUUUGGUGCUUGCACCAGAUGAAACUAGAUACAAGCGAGCGGCGGACGGGUGAGUAACACGUGGGUAACCUGCCCAAGAGACUGGGAUAACACCUGGAAACAGAUGCUAAUACCGGAUAACAACACUAGACGCAUGUCUAGAGUUUAAAAGAUGGUUCUGCUAUCACUCUUGGAUGGACCUGCGGUGCAUUAGCUAGUUGGUAAGGUAACGGCUUACCAAGGCAAUGAUGCAUAGCCGAGUUGAGAGACUGAUCGGCCACAUUGGGACUGAGACACGGCCCAAACUCCUACGGGAGGCAGCAGUAGGGAAUCUUCCACAAUGGACGCAAGUCUGAUGGAGCAACGCCGCGUGAGUGAAGAAGGGUUUCGGCUCGUAAAGCUCUGUUGGUAGUGAAGAAAGAUAGAGGUAGUAACUGGCCUUUAUUUGACGGUAAUUACUUAGAAAGUCACGGCUAACUACGUGCCAGCAGCCGCGGUAAUACGUAGGUGGCAAGCGUUGUCCGGAUUUAUUGGGCGUAAAGCGAGUGCAGGCGGUUCAAUAAGUCUGAUGUGAAAGCCUUCGGCUCAACCGGAGAAUUGCACCAGAAACUGUUGAACUUGAGUGCAGAAGAGGAGAGUGGAACUCCAUGUGUAGCGGUGGAAUGCGUAGAUAUAUGGAAGAACACCAGUGGCGAAGGCGGCUCUCUGGUCUGCAACUGACGCUGAGGCUCGAAAGCAUGGGUAGCGAACAGG
rnacentral:rRNA from 1 species